GGGGUGUCCUGGGGGGCGGAGGGAGAGCUCCUCCAGCAGCUCCUCUUGGCCCCUGGCUGCCCACGCCCCGCUGCUUGGCUGAAUAUCUCUCAAGGCCCCAGGGCUGGCCGGCCCCUGUGCCCUGACGGGUGUCUGGUGGCCCAGGACGAGGCCCACCGCCCAGGGACAGGACAGGGGAGGGGCCGGGCGCUGCACUGGUCAGUGCUGCGGAGGAGAAACAGCUCACAGCGCACACGCGAGGACCCUGCACGGCUCAGCUGGGACGUGGGAGCCCUGGACUCUCCAGCCAGAAGCCAUGCUGCUGUGGCUGACCCUCGCCCUCCUGUGGAGCCCCACCUGCUGGAGACAUUUGGGCCUGGAGGAGGUACCUAUUUCAGUACCUCUAGAGACUUCCAGACAAUAUCACCGGGAUUUGAGAGUUUACGGGUCAUUUUGGCUGUGUUAGAAGGUGAGACACUGCUCCUCCUGGAGUAACUUAUAUGGAGCUCAAGGUCUGAACCCUCAGGAAUUCCACCUGCAGAAAGGUGAACACAUUUCAGGCGUCCUCGGCUCCUUCAGGCAUUUCCUCUCCUACUUGGUUGUACACACCAGCCUACGGCCCUUCAUCCGGUUUGGAUGUCCGCAUGGCCAGUUCUUUAUCGCCUCCCCUGAUGGCAGCCAGAAGGCGCUCACUGGAGUCUACGGACAGUACACGGUUCAGGGCAUUUCCAGCAUCGGCUCUGACUGGGAUUACCCUUCAAGUUGAAGCAAAUAGCACUUCAACCAAAGAGAAAUGACCCCUCUGGGUCUCCAGGGCUGGGCCGUGGGUUACCCUGCCAAGGCCGUCUGGCUGGUGGUGGGCACAAGUCACCAGGGACCUGAGUGCAGCCCUGAAUCAGAAUCCACCAAUAAAUCCAGCUUCUGCAGCGACAGUGGGUCCAGGGGGCUCCUUGGUCGGGGAUGCGAACAAGCCUUCUGAGCUUGUGGGGACGAGGCCUCCCGGGCGGAGCUCACUGAGCAGAGCUGCAGGAGGAGGCAGGAGGGGGUCCGACACCCCAGGGCUGGGUGAUUCUGACAGGAUGCAGGGCCUGCCUGUGAGGACCCAGGCCGAUCCCAUAAUCUCUGAGGAUUCAGGACUCCCAGAGGCCCCAUCCCUUGCUCACUGCUGCAAGCC
ensembl:lncRNA